UACGAAGGGGGCUAGCGUUGUUCGGAAUUACUGGGCGUAAAGCGCACGUAGGCGGAUUGUUAAGUUAGGGGUGAAAUCCCAGGGCUCAACCCUGGAACUGCCUUUAAUACUGGCAAUCUCGAGUCCGAGAGAGGUGAGUGGAAUUCCGAGUGUAGAGGUGAAAUUCGUAGAUAUUCGCAAGAACACCAGUGGCGAAGGCGGCUCACUGGCCCGAUACUGACGCUGAGGCACGAAAGCGUGGGGAUCAAACAGG
rnacentral:rRNA from 1 species